rnacentral:lncRNA from 10 species
GGGAGGUUGGGGAGGUGGGGGGAAGCGAAGCCCUAAGAUGGGCGGAGAGAAGCAGAUGUGGAGGUGAUGGCGAAGACCCAGAUAUAAGCAGGUCAGGCAGUUGGUGAGUUCCAUGAGGAGACUGCAACUUCUCCACCCUGUGCCCCUCCAGAUCCCUCAUGCUGCUCUGUGUCCUCCAGGGUUGGCCUGUCCAAGUUCAACAGUGGGCUUCCACACCCUCCCACUUCCAGCUGGGUUGGCCAAGGGACCCCACUAAAACAGCAUCCUGCACAAAAUAGAACAUAGCAGGCCGGGCGCAGUGGCUCACACCUGUAAUCCCAGCACUUUGGGAGGCCGAGGAGGGCGGAUCACCUGAGGUCAUGAGUUCGAGACUAGCCUGGUCAACAUGAUGAAAUCCUGUCUGUGCUAAAAAUACAAAAUUUAGUUGGGCAUGGUGGCGUGUGCCUAUAAUUCCAGCUACUUGGGAGGCUGAGGCAGGAGAAUUGCUUGAACACAGGAGGUGGAAGUUGCGGUGAGCCGAGAUCAUGCCACUUCACUCCAGCCUGGGUGACAGAGCGAGACUCCAACUCAGAAAAAAAAAAAAGAAGAAGAAGAAGAACAUAGCACAUAGUGACAUUAGCUAGGUGCCUCCAAUUCCUGGCUUUCCCAGAAGGAAGAGCCCAGUGGAGCCAGCCGUGUCAUGACUCCUGUCGGACCGUGUUACAGACCAUGAUCACCGACCAGUUCUUUAUCCAUGGAUGAGCGGUCACCUUUUAUCUUGUCAGCCAGGAGGGGUAUGGAGGGCUGUCUCCA